rnacentral:rRNA from 1 species
AGAGUUUGAUCAUGGCUCAGGAUGAACGCUAGCUACAGGCUUAACACAUGCAAGUCGAGGGGCAGCAUUUCAGUUUGCUUGCAAACUGGAGAUGGCGACCGGCGCACGGGUGAGUAACACGUAUCCAACCUGCCGAUAACUCGGGGAUAGCCUUUCGAAAGAAAGAUUAAUACCCGAUGGCAUAAUUAGACCGCAUGGUCUUAUUAUUAAAGAAUUUCGGUUAUCGAUGGGGAUGCGUUCCAUUAGGCAGUUGGUGAGGUAACGGCUCACCAAACCUUCGAUGGAUAGGGGUUCUGAGAGGAAGGUCCCCAACAUUGGAACUGAGACACGGUCCAAACUCCUACGGGAGGCAGCAGUGAGGAAUAUUGGUCAAUGGACGAGAGUCUGAACCAGCCAAGUAGCGUGAAGGAUGACUGCCCUAUGGGUUGUAAACUUCUUUUAUAUGGGAAUAAAGUUUUCCACGUGUGGAAUUUUGUAUGUACCAUAUGAAUAAGGAUCGGCUAACUCCGUGCCAGCAGCCGCGGUAAUAC